CCGCAACGAGCGCAACCCUUAUCCUUUGUUGCCAGCGGUUAGGCCGGGAACUCAAAGGAGACUGCCAGUGAUAAACUGGAGGAAGGUGGGGAUGACGUCAAGUCAUCAUGGCCCUUACGACCAGGGCUACACACGUGCUACAAUGGCGCAUACAAAGAGAAGCGACCUCGCGAGAGCAAGCGGACCUCAUAAAGUGCGUCGUAGUCCGGAUUGGAGUCUGCAACUCGACUCCAUGAAGUCGGAAUCGCUAGUAAUCGUGGAUCAGAAUGCCACGGUGAAUACGUUCCCGGGCCUUGUACACACCGCCCGUCACACCAUGGGAGUGGGUUGCAAAAGAAGUAGGUAGCUUAACCUUCGGGAGGGCGCUUACCACUUUGUGAUUCAUGACUGGGGUGAAGUCGUAACAAGGUAACCGUAGG
rnacentral:rRNA from 1 species